AGAGGCCCGCCGCGGUAACGACGGGUAACGGGGAAUCAGGGUUCGAUUCCGGAGAGGGAGCCCGAGAAACGGCUACCACUUCCAAGGAAGGCAGCAGGCGCGCAACUUACCCUAAUCUCGAUUCGAGGAGGUAGUGACAAGAAAUACCGAUGCGGGACCCUACGGGUGCCGCGUUCGGAAUGAGUACGAUUCGAACCACCUAACGAGGAACGAUCGGAGGGCAAGUCUGGUGCCAGCAGCCGCGGUAAUUCCAGCUCCAAUAGCGUACGUUAAAAGUUGCUGCAGUUAAAAGCUCGUAGUUGAACGUUCGGGUUCCGCGGGACGGGGCCGCCCCGCGAGGGACGGCGCCGCCCCGGGGCUCGUGAUAUCUCAUCUCGCCGCCCGUCGCGAGGCGGACGGAGGGAUGGAUGAGGUUACCUGGAAAAAAUCGGGGCGAUCUAGGCGGGCGAACCUCGCCAACGAACGAUCGGACAUGGGAUAACGGAAGAGGGCGUCGGCUCGACUUCGUCGGUUCCUCGGGCCGAGGCACGUACGGUGAAUAGGGACGUCGGGGCCGCCGUACCGGUCGUGAGAGGUGAAA
rnacentral:rRNA from 1 species